ACAGAAAAGAAGGAGAAGACGACAGAAGAAGAAAAUUGUUGCAGAAGGAAAAUUGCAGGAGCACAAAUACAAGAGGAGACAUUUUCACAGGUAGAUAGAUCCUGUCAAUUAAUUCUUGUUGGGUGGCAACCCUAAAAUCAUUCUCUCGGAUGAUGAAUCCAUAUUGGGUGGCAACCCUUAAAUGAUGAACAACAAAUCCAUGAGAGGAUUUUUGUUUAACAAAACUCUGCCGAGCAAAAGAAAAUCCUUUGAAAUGGAUACAGAAUAUUGGAUAUAAAAUCCAUCAUGGGUGUGUAACCCUCAAUCAAAUACCCUGAAUGGUAUAUCCAUUUUUGGGCAUAAAACUCAUUCAGUGGGUUCUCAAGAGCACAAAUCCAAUUUCGGUACAAAACCCACAAACAAAAUCAUGGAGGGAUUUAAUCUCACAGCAAAUAAAAAAUCAGCUGUGUGCACAAAAAAGAGAGGAACAAAGCUUGAAAAGGAAGGCCACGUUUGUGCAGCGUAUCCUUUGAAUUCUUCAUCUGGCACCAUUAUGGAAUAAUAAAAAAAAUCUGUAUGUGCUUCUACUGUUAUUUGUAUUUGUUCGUGUGCUUGAUCAACCAUACAACCAUAAUGGUCAAUUUGCGGUAUAAGCCCAAAGCCCUCCAUUCCUUUAAACCAUCUUUUCCCUUCCUCUACCAGACCACAAUGGUUCCAAGCAGACAAAGGAAAACAAAAAAAAAAAAGAAAAAAAAAAAGGGAAGCAGCCACCAAGAAGAAGAAACAGA
rnacentral:lncRNA from 1 species